CCUUUUUAGAAGGCAGCGAGACAUGGUGUCACAGGAACCCAGAAGAGCUAAGAUUACUGCCAGCUGAGGAAAUACAAGCUCUCACAGGAAAGGGAUGAAGGAGUGCGCAAAGGGAAAAGUCAAAGUGCCUUGAGCCCAUGGAAAGGAUCAUGGCAGGUGGCAACUGAAACCAAAGCCCGAAGCAAAAACUGGUUUCAUGCAAAUCCAAGUGUACUGUUGUGAAGGCUUUGUGGACAUUUGAGUGAUCCUGAGGCUGGGCUUGGAGAAGCUCAGGAGAACUCUCACAGAGUGAUGCAAACUCUUAAGUCACGGACCCUGCAGAGAAGAAACAGGCCACCCAGUCUUAUUUCUGCUAGCAUCAACACCUCUCUUGCAAAGUUCCGUCUGUUGCUGUGACAAUCCAGCAUUUUAGGGAGGAGGCCAAGUGGAAAACCGAGGAGGCAUGCCUGUUUAAUGAAAAGAUGGGGAUGAUUUGCAGUCAAUUCCGUCGUUAU